ACAGCCGCCGCCGCCGCUGCCGCCGCCACCUCCUCUGCUGCUGCUGCUGCUGCCGCCGCUGCUACCUCCACCAACCAGCCCCGCCGCUUCCUAGCUAGCUCACUGCUGCCCAAAAGCUCCCAGCCAGGGAACUCCACCAGUCUAUUUAUCUGAGCCCCGGGAAAGCUCCGUGACGUAGCUGCCCAUAUAUGGACAGACAAAGCCCAGCCGAAGGGGCGCGACGUCACAAUGGAAGCUCCUCACAAUGGAACAUUAGAAAGCAGGAAGCGGGCCGCAGCCAACGUGCAGCGCCCGCACCGCUCUCGCCGUUCUUAAGAGAGAGAGAGAAAGAAAAAAAAAGUCAAUUAGAAGAUUAGAAAGAAGGGAAAGCGAGAGGAGAAAAAGAAAGAGGGACGAAGCCGAAUGCAAAGCCCACGACGCGCAGUGCACAGUCGAAAACCCUGUAACUAAACAUGAUGGCAGGAGGGCCCAGCAGGCCGGGGCACAGUCGCGAUCUACUGCCGCCAGCGAAGGGCUUGCGGCUGAGUUACAGCAGGAAGAUGCGAAACCCACAGCUUCUAAGC